AUUGAACGCUGGCGGCAUGCUUUACACAUGCAAGUCGAACGGUAACAGGGAGCUUGCUCCGCUGAUGAGUGGCGAACGGGUGAGUAAUGCAUCGGAACGUACCGUGUAAUGGGGGAUAACGUAGCGAAAGUUACGCUAAUACCGCAUACGCCCUGAGGGGGAAAGUGGGGGACCGCAAGGCCUCACGUUAUACGAGCGGCCGAUGUCGGAUUAGCUAGUUGGUGGGGUAAAGGCCUACCAAGGCGACGAUCCGUAGCGGGUCUGAGAGGAUGAUCCGCCACACGGGGACUGAGACACGGCCCAGACUCCUACGGGAGGCAGCAGUGGGGAAUUUUGGACAAUGGGGGCAACCCUGAUCCAGCCAUGCCGCGUGAGUGAAGAAGGCCUUCGGGUUGUAAAGCUCUUUCAGGUGGAAAGAAAUCUCUCGGGUGAAUACCCUGGGAGGAUGACGGUACCAUCAGAAGAAGCACCGGCUAACUACGUGCCAGCAGCCGCCGUAAGAC
rnacentral:rRNA from 1 species